AUUGAACGCUGGCGGCAGGCUUAACACAUGCAAGUCGAACGAGUGGCGGACGGGUGAGUAAUGCUUGGGAAUCUAGCUUAUGGAGGGGGAUAACUACGGGAAACUGUAGCUAAUACCGCGUACCAUAGGAUGAGCCCACGUGGGAUUAGGUAGUUGGUGAGUUAAAGGCUCACCAAGCCGACGAUCUCUAGCUGGGCUGAGAGGAUGACCAGGAACGAGGGAACUGAGACAGGGCCCAGACGCCUACGGGAGGCAGCAGUGGGGAAUAUGGCGCAAGGGGUGAAACCUGAGGCAGCCAUGCCGAGUGAAUGAAGAAGGCCUUCGGGUUGUAAAGUUCUUUCGGUAGCGAGGCGUUAACUACAGAAGAAGCACCGGCUAACUACGUGCCAGCAGCCGCGGUAAUAC
rnacentral:rRNA from 1 species